UACGUAGGGUGCGAGCGUUGUCCGGAAUUAUUGGGCGUAAAGAGCUUGUAGGUGGUUUGUCGCGUCUGCUGUGAAAAUCCGGGGCUCAACCCCGGACUUGCAGUGGGUACGGGCAGACUGGAGUGUGGUAGGGGAGACUGGAAUUCCUGGUGUAGCGGUGGAAUGCGCAGAUAUCAGGAGGAACACCGAUGGCGAAGGCAGGUCUCUGGGCCACUACUGACGCUGAGAAGCGAAAGCAUGGGGAGCGAACAGG
rnacentral:rRNA from 1 species